rnacentral:lncRNA from 1 species
CGCUCGGCGCGCGAAGGGGACCGCCGGUCGAAGCUCCGUCGACCGGACCUCCUCGCCUAUAAAUAGAGGAGCACCUCCGUCGACAAACGGUAUCGCGAGCUCUGAGAUCUUCCCACUGAGAGACUUCGGGGGAGGAAUCGAAGAGCGAGCGAGAGAGGACUCGGGUCGCGAGCUCGGCCGACCUCCCACUAAGAGACUUCGGGGGAGGUCGCCGGUGAGCGAGUUCGGGGAGGUUAGAUCCGGCCGGUGGAGGCUCAGAUCUAGCCGGAGUGAGAAGCGAGGGGGAGAGAUCCGAGAGGGUCGGGUCUGAGAGAGAGGAAUCGGAGGGAAAGGUGCUAGAUCUGAGAAGCUAACGGACCGCCGUAGCUGCCCCGUCGUCGCACCUGCACCCCCCCAGAUCCGCUGCUGCUUCGGAGCUCAAAGAACCGCCGCGACUCGGAGCCCCCGUCGCGGAGUUCCGCUUGUGCUGGGUCAUCGCCUUUUCCCACGCCGCCGCACCAUACCCUCUCCAUAAGCAGGUAUCAGCCCCCUCUUGGACGUCGCCGUUUUCGCUCGCCACCCCUCGCCGCCCCUUUUUUUUGAAACCCUAGCCUCGGCCUCAAUCCCGAUUGGCCAAGAGGCUCUGUGUUGCUGCCGCGCCGCGUCCCAUCGAGAAGUCGGCCGUUGCUGUCGUCCAUGUAGCUGCUGUCGUCGUCGCUGAUCCGUCACCCGUCGCGCCACCAUGGCCGAGUUGCCGGCGUCCCCGCCAUCCCCUCUCUAGCGCCGCAAAGAAGCACUGGAAUUUGGGGUUGCAAAUUCGGGUCGCGACCGGGUCAGGCAAAAGCCCCGUCGGGUAGGGUUCCUCGCGGGAACCGGGCCGAUCGACGGGUCGGGCGUGGAUCUUGACCGGGCAGGGUUCCGGUCAGUCUGGGCCAAGCGGGCUUGGACGCAAGUGGGCCGGUCUCACGCGGAUA